GACAGAGGGUGCAAGCGUUGUUCGGAAUUACUGGGCGUAAAGCGCGCGCAGGCGGUCUUCCAAGUCAGUGGUGAAAGCCCGGAGCUCAACUCCGGAACUGCCAUUGAAACUGUUAGACUUGAGGAUGAGAGAGGUGAGUGGAAUUCCCAGUGUAGAGGUGAAAUUCGUAGAUAUUGGGAAGAACACCGGUGGCGAAGGCGGCUCACUGGCUCAUUACUGACGCUCAGGCGCGAUAGCGUGGGGAUCAAACAGG
rnacentral:rRNA from 1 species